GAUGAACGCUGGCGGCGUGCCUAAUACAUGCAAGUCGAGCGAACGGACGAGAAGCUUGCUUUUCUGAUGUUAGCGGCGGACGGGUGAGUAACACGUGGAUAACCUACCUAUAAGACUGGGAUAACUUCGGGAAACCGGAGCUAAUACCGGAUAAUAUUUUGAACCGCAGGGUUCAAAAGUGAAAGACGGUCUUGCUGUCACUUAUAGAUGGAUCCGCGCUGCAUUAGCUAGUUGGUAAGGUAACGGCUUACCAAGGCAACGAUGCAUAGCCGACCUGAGAGGGUGAUCGGCCACACUGGAACUGAGACACGGUCCAGACUCCUACGGGAGGCAGCAGUAGGGAAUCUUCCGCAAUGGGCGAAAGCCUGACGGAGCAACGCCGCGUGAGUGAUGAAGGUCUUCGGAUCGUAAAACUCUGUUAUUAGGGAAGAACAUAUGUGUAAGUAACUGUGCACGUCUUGACGGUACCUACUCAGAAAGCCACGGCUAACUACGUG
rnacentral:rRNA from 1 species